GACAGAGGGUGCAAACGUUGCUCGGAAUUACUGGGCGUAAAGCGCGUGUAGGCGGACCUGUAAGUUGGACGUGAAAGCCCUGGGCUCAACCCAGGAAUUGCAUCCAAAACUACAGGCCUAGAGUGAUGGAGAGGGUAGCAGAAUUCCUGGUGUAGAGGUGAAAUGCGUAGAUAUCGGGAGGAACACCUGUGGCGAAAGCGGCGCACUGGACCACAACUGACGCUGAG
rnacentral:rRNA from 1 species